UACGGAAGGGGCAAGCGUUGUCCGGAUUUAUUGGGCGUAAAGAGCUCGUAGGCGGUUCGGCAAGUCGAAUGUGAAAUCUCCACGCUCAACGUGGAGGGGUCAUUCGAUACUGCCGUGACUUGAGUACGGUAGGGGAGUGUGGAAUUCCCGGUGUAGCGGUGAAAUGCGCAGAGAUCGGGAGGAACACCCGUAGCGAAGGCGGCACUCUGGGCCGAUACUGACGCUGAGGAGCGAAAGCGUGGGGAGCGAACAGG
rnacentral:rRNA from 1 species